AUGAAACACUGCAGUCAUGUUUUCUCCUGGAUUUCAGCCUUUUUUCUUGGGUUUCCGUCUCUUUCUGAUGCACGUACGCCCGCUCCCGUACAAAAACCUCAAAGUCCACGUUUCCAGCUUCUUCACAGCUGUCUAAAAACACCGCGAUGCCCGUCUCCUCCACCGGAACGGCCACUCUACAGCCCUGAAUGUCCUCCAGCUCAAGUUCUGGCUCAGUUUCAGAGUCUUCUUCCUCACUGGUCCAGGAAUAAAUCUCUAACGAGGAGCUGCUGAGAGUCACGUCAUCCAGUUUAAGGGGGUUAAUGAGGUCUUGACAUUGGCUGUGGCUGGUUCCUGGCAUCUCAAUUUCAUUUCGCUCUUGUUUCCUUGGGUUUUGAUUGGCUAAAUUUGAGUGAUCUUGGGUUGUGAUGGUCUGGGGAUCCUUUAUGAGCUUUAAGACGUUUAGAUCUUCAUUUAGAAGACCUGUGGUUGUCUCUAUUUGGUUAUCUUCUUGUGUUUUAUGUUCUAAAUGUGGUUCUUCAUAAUGUUCUUCUUCUAUCAUGAUGAAAUGCUUCUCCAGAGUUUGUUCUGCAGUUUUUGCUUCCUUUUCUUUAACAGCUUCUGCAUUAAUAUCAUCAGAAAUGGACUUAUGGUCAGGGUUCUCCUUGUCUUGGUACUUUAUCUCAUGUUUAAAGGCUUCUGGAACAUAUUUAGCUUCUAAUGACUCUCCAACUUUGGGGUUCUUAUGGUUUAUUUGAGGAACUUCUUGGAUUUUCUCAAAGAUUCUCUUCUCUGUUGGUUUGAUGUCAUUUAAGCUCUUCAUUGGCGUCGCCAUCGAUGUCCCUAAUGAUGCUACUGAUUCUCUCGUCUCCACUCUAAUUCUCCUUCUAGGAAUUGAUGAACAGGACUUUUGAGACGCCACGCUCUGUCUCAAAGUCUUCCCAGACGUCCUGCUGUCCACCUCAGAGCCUCGUCCGUCUGGAGAUCUCUCUGGAACGCCAUUGGGAACAUAAUGAGGCAUCACAUGAAACAUGAAAACUCGUUUUUCAGAGAAGACAGAUUUGGAGACUGACGAGACAAGAAGAGGACGGCGAUGAAGAAGGAAAAGCAGGUCAAGUGUCACAAACCAACUGUUUUGUGUGAAUUAUCUUCCUGUCAAUGAUGAUUCGUUGGUUAGGAAAUAGGAAAAAACAAGGAAAAAACAAGGUAGUUUGAUUCAAAAUGAUUGGAGAUUCCAAUGGAAGAAAUGAAAGACUGUAAGAAAAGCUGAAAGAGAGACAGUGAUUCGAUUGAU
rnacentral:lncRNA from 1 species